rnacentral:rRNA from 1 species
UGGGGAAUAUUGCACAAUGGGCGGAAGCCUGAUGCAGCAACGCCGCGUGCGGGAUGACGGCCUUCGGGUUGUAAACCGCUUUCGCCUGUGACGAAGCGUGAGUGACGGUAAUGGGUAAAGAAGCACCGGCUAACUACGUGCCAGCAGCCGCGGUGAUACGUAGGGUGCGAGCGUUGUCCGGAUUUAUUGGGCGUAAAGGGCUCGUAGGUGGUUGAUCGCGUCGGAAGUGUAAUCUUGGGGCUUAACCCUGAGCGUGCUUUCGAUACGGGUUGACUUGAGGAAGGUAGGGGAGAAUGGAAUUCCUGGUGGAGCGGUGGAAUGCGCAGAUAUCAGGAGGAACACCAGUGGCGAAGGCGGUUCUCUGGGCCUUUCCUGACGCUGAGGAGCGAAAGCGUGGGGAGCGAACAGGCUUAGAUACCCUGGUA